UGGCGAACGGGUGAGUAACGCGUGAGUAACCUGCCUUUCAGUGGGGGACAACAGAGGGGAACUUCUGCUAAUACCGCAUAACGUGCCUUGGGGGCAUCCCUGGGGUACCAAAGAUUUAUUGCUGAAAGAUGGGCUUGCGUCUGAUUAGAUAGUUGGCGGGGUAACGGCCCACCAAGUCGACGAUCAGUAGCCGGUCUGAGAGGAUGAACGGCCACAUUGGGACUGAGAUACGGCCCAGACUCCUACGGGAGGCAGCAG
rnacentral:rRNA from 1 species